UGGGGAAUAUUGGACAAUGGGCGAAAGCCUGAUCCAGCCAUGCCGCGUGUGUGAAGAAGGUCUUCGGAUUGUAAAGCACUUUAAGUUGGGAGGAAGGGCAGUAAGCGAAUACCUUGCUGUUUUGACGUUACCGACAGAAUAAGCACCGGCUAACUCUGUGCCAGCAGCCGCGGUAAUACAGAGGGUGCAAGCGUUAAUCGGAAUUACUGGGCGUAAAGCGCGCGUAGGUGGUUCGUUAAGUUGAAUGUGAAAGCCCCGGGCUCAACCUAGGAACUGCAUCCAAAACUGGCGAGCUAGAGUAGGGCAGAGGGUGGUGGAAUUUCCUGUGUAGCGGUGAGAUGCGUAGAUAUAGGAAGGAACACCAGUGGCGAAGGCGACCACCUGGGCUCAUACUGACACUGAGGUGCGAAAGCGUGGGGAGCAAACAGG
rnacentral:rRNA from 1 species